rnacentral:rRNA from 1 species
GAUGAACGCUGGCGGCGUGCCUAAUACAUGCAAGUCGAGCGAAUGGAUUAAGAGCUUGCUCUUAUGAAGUUAGCGGCGGACGGGUGAGUAACACGUGGGUAACCUGCCCAUAAGACUGGGAUAACUCCGGGAAACCGGGGCUAAUACCGGAUAACAUUUUGAACCGCAUGGUUCGAAAUUGAAAGGCGGCUUCGGCUGUCACUUAUGGAUGGACCCGCGUCGCAUUAGCUAGUUGGUGAGGUAAUGGCUCACCAAGGCAACGAUGCGUAGCCGACCGGAGAGGGUGAUCGGCCACACUGGGACUGAGACACGGCCCAGACUCCUACGGGAGGCAGCAGUAGGGAAUCUUCCGCAAUGGACGAAAGUCUGACGAAGCAACGCCGCGUGAGUGAUGAAGGCUUUCGGGUCGUAAAACUCUGUUGUUAGGGAAGAACAAGUGCUAGUUGAAUAAGCUGGCACCUUGACGGUACCUAACCAGAAAGCCACGGCUAACUACGUGCCAGCCGCCGCCGUAA